AACGAACGCUGGCGGCGUGCCUAACACAUGCAAGUCGUGCGAGAAAGUUCCUUCGGGAGCGAGUAAAGCGGCGCACGGGUGAGUAACACGUAGGUAACCUGCCCCCCAGUCUGGAACAACUAGAGGAAACUCUAGCUAAUGCCGGAUGAGACCACGAUCCCUUCGGGGGUUGCGGCCAAAGAUGGCCUCUACUUGUAAGCUAUCGCUGAGGGAUGGGCCUGCGGGCCAUUAGCUUGUUGGUGAGGUAACGGCUCACCAAGGCUGUGAUGGCUAGCUGGUCUGAGAGGGAUGACCAGCCACACUGGGACUGAGACACGGCCCAGACUCCUACGGGAGGCAGCA
rnacentral:rRNA from 1 species